rnacentral:lncRNA from 1 species
CUAUUUAUAAUGCUCUGUUUUAUUAUUGCAACGCCGCUUCAAGUUGAAUGUGCAAGAACAUAUUAUGAUGUUUUAAUAAUUGCAAACGAAUGAGAUCGGGUACAAAGAGACAUAUAUAGCCAAUGUUGCAGGGUAAUAAUGCUAUCAUUAACAUUAUAAAAGGAAUAUUCUCUUAUCAUAAUACUUAUAAAUGGCAUUCCACGUUAACUUUAAAAGAAGAUAAUGAUCUGCAUAUUAUUUAUCAAGGGUUGGGAGGCUUGCGAGGAAAGACCCCGGUGAUUUUAUUAUAGGCACGAAAUGGCCAAUCGGCCCCGAAUAGAGCGAACGAGCUUGGGCAUGGAAACGCAAUCGCCGCGGAGAAGAGAUGCCGAAGUAGCAACGACGUCCGUUUGGCAGGUUGGAUUGGUGCGUAAUAGAUGGACAUAAGAACGGAGGGGAGGAAGUCAAGGAGGAGGGGGCGGAGCA